rnacentral:rRNA from 1 species
AUUGAACGCUGGCGGCAGGCCUAACACAUGCAAGUCGAGCGGAUGAAGGGAGCUUGCUCCUGGAUUCAGCGGCGGACGGGUGAGUAAUGCCUAGGAAUCUGCCUGGUAGUGGGGGAUAACGUCCGGAAACGGCCGCUAAUACCGCAUACGUCCUGAGGGAGAAAGUGGGGGAUCUUCGGACCUCACGCUAUCAGAUGAGCCUAGGUCGGAUUAGCUAGUUGGUGGGGUAAAGGCCUACCAAGGCGACGAUCCGUAACUGGUCUGAGAGGAUGAUCAGUCACACUGGAACUGAGACACGGUCCAGACUCCUACGGGAGGCAGCAGUGGGGAAUAUUGGACAAUGGGCGAAAGCCUGAUCCAGCCAUGCCGCGUGUGUGAAGAAGGUCUUCGGAUUGUAAAGCACUUUAAGUUGGGAGGAAGGGCAGUAAGUUAAUACCUUGCUGUUUUGACGUUACCAACAGAAUAAGCACCGGCUAACUUCGUG